UGGGGGAUAUUGCACAAUGGGCGAAAGCCUGAUGCAGCGACGCCACGUGGGGGAUGAAGGCCUUCGGGUUGUAAACUUCUUUUGCUCUGAACAAGGCGCACCAUGGGGUGUGUUGAGUGUAGGGGUUGAUUAGCGCCGGCUAACUACGUGCCAGCAGCCGCGGUAAUACGUAGGGCGCGAGCGUUGUCCGGAAUUAUUGGGCGUAAAGGGCUUGUAGGUGGCUGGUUGCGUCUGUCGUGAAAGCUCAUGGCUUAACUGUGGGUUUGCGGUGGGUACGGGCUGGCUUGAGUGCAGUAGGGGAGGCUGGAAUUCCUGGUGUAGCGGUGGAAUGCGCAGAUAUCAGGAGGAAUACCGGUGGCGAAGGCGGGUCUCUGGGCUGUUACUGACACUGAGGAGCGAAAGCAUGGGGAGCGAACAGG
rnacentral:rRNA from 1 species